CUCACCCACUCACACACACACACACACACACACACACACACACACACACUUUCCCCAUCACCCAGAUCUAUACUCUCUUUCUGCUCUCACCUGUUAUUUUAACCUCCCCUCUGGAACUAUUAUUAUCGCCACCUCCUCCCCAAGUUUGGAACUCUUUUACUCUAUCCUUUCUCACUUGGAGAUAUUCUUUCUUCUCUCCUUUUAACACCUGGAGAUGUUACUCCCCUUCCCUCUUAUCUAGAGUUAUCUUCCUCCCACCGGUACAGCUGUUAUUCCCCUGCAAACACACACCUCUGGUCUAGAAUUCAUUUCCUCCCUUCCUUCUCACCUGGAGACCUCAUUACCUUCCCCUCACUCACAGCUGUUAUUUCUCCUGUCUCUUCACCUGGAGUUGUUGUUUCCUCCUUCCCCUCUCACUUGGAGCACUUGUCAUCCUAAUCCCCUCCCACUGCUGUGCUGGGAGGGUGGGAUGCUCCUCAUGGGAGGCCAAACUGGCCUGGCAGUGCCCCUCCACAAACCUUCCCAUCAGUCCAGGCUCCAAGCACAGCCAUACUCAAAAAGGGUCUCACUUCAGGUAGGGAAGGGGGAUAGCAUCUGCUUAUGCUUUCCAGUCCCCUGUACAUUUUCCUUUUCUUGAAGCUUUGGACUUUGUGGCUUUUCAAACUUUUCUUCAGUGGAGUAAGCAAGAGGAAGGAGUUGAAUGUAUCAUGGACCACUCUGGGAGUUUCCAGCCAUUGCUGUUGGUUCUACUAUCUGGGGCCAAGCAGAAGGCUUUUCCACCUGGCAGCCCUUCAGAUCCUUGAAGGCACCUAUUUCUUCCCUGGUCUUCCUCCUCUCCCCCUUCUCCCCAGGCUUCUCUUCUGAAGGCUGACCGCUGGGCUGGAAAUGAGAAUGCAUUGAAGACUCCCAAAGGUGUAACAGUCAUGUUCUUCACCUGGUGGUGAUUGAGGAGGAUGAAGUGCUGUAGGCCUCUGGGUGGGGAAAAGGCUUAAGACACCCUCUCGCUGGAGGGUCUGUUAUGGCUGAGAGACAAAUUAGUGGCCUCCUGCUACCAACUACUGAUCUCCCUAGCCAAGCUGAUACAUAACCAUGACCGCAACAUCUCUGUUUCUUUGCCUUGUUGCAUUUCUCCACUCCUGCCCUUAAAUAACUGAGUGUUGGAGAUGAUACAGACGAGGCAUGACCUUGUGAGGUCUCAGCAAGUCCAGGGAAAGAAGACCACCGCAGAGUUUGCUGACCCGCAGCCUGAGGCCCCAGCCUAGCAGCGAUUGGACUCUGCAGUCAAGAUGCCGUUUUCUGGAGCUACUGAAACUGCUGGCUGUGCAGCAUUGGGGAAUGAGCUUGCUGGGUCACCAAAUGCUUUGAGUUUGAGCCCACUCUCCCCAGGGACUAAGGUGGCAUAAAGGGAAAACGUUCCCCCUGAUUGUAACUUCUGCUCUUGCUGUAUCUGUUCCAUAGACAUCCCUUUGUGAAAAACUAAUCGAUAUUGGUUAAAUGACAGUGGGGUGCUAGUCUCAGUUAAUCAGUGAUACGAGAGAAGUACUAACUGUAACUGAUGAUUGACAUUGGAGGAAAACUCACCUGACCGAGGGCUUGAACUGAUGCAUUAGAGACAACCCCACAGCCCCUCACAGUUACCCUGGAAAUUUGAAGGGGAAUAGCUAUCCAGCCUUCCUUUGAGGGGUCUGGCUCAUCUGUGAGUGGGAGUCAUGAUAAAGACCCACAGAGUCUAUAAAGGCCUGCAUAUCUCUCCAGAUAUGUCUCAUAUCUCCCCCCUUCAUAUACUUGCUGUAUAUAUAAUAUUCCAUUUUGAGUCUCCCAUAGCUCUGCAGCUCCCUAUCCGUACCCUUCCCUGUGUCUGGAAUCUUCUCUCUCCUCACUUUUGCUUCUCUUGGAAUCCCUGGAUCCCCAAGGAUCACCUUUUUCUGAUCCCCUCUCCAGUUUUUAGCACUUCCCCCAAUUUACUUUGUCUCUAUUUUGUAUUUAUUUUCUACAAGUGCACAUGUUGCCGCCUUCCAUCCCCCCAAAUGUGUAAGCCCAUCAAGGGCAGGGACCAUUUCUGUUUUGUCUUAGUAUCUCAAACCCAGAGCUCAGCUCACAAUAGCUACAUGAUAAAUGCUUGUGUGGAGUUAACUUUGAUUCUGGUUCCGUGACCACAGGAUUCCUGAAUACCAAUCAAUACCUGCCUGCCAAUUGAAUGGAUCCCCUAAACCCAUCCACACAUCUGGAAGAAAACAACUCAAUAAUGCAAACCUUA